UAGUUCUUCAAUGGCCAGCUCUAGCGCUGGGUGUUGUUGCAAGUACGUUCGGGUUGCUCAAUGCAGGAUAAACACUGUAGAUCAUGGCGCUGAGAGCAACAACCACUAAUCAUAAAAUGAAGUAACCAUGAAUUGUAAAUAAAUGUGUUUUUUAGUAGUUUUCGGAGUGACGAAACAGCGUCCAGAGCUCUGAUAUGGGCACGUGUUCUACAGUGUAUAGGACCGGAGAUUGUGGACUUUGUCGGUAAAGCUGUUCUUGGAUCUGGGUACUGACAGCAGCUUAAUAUCGCGACAGGAACGAAGGCCUGGCCGACCAGGUACAUGGGGCUUGAAAUAGUGUCCAGGUGUCGAGGAGCUGCGUGGUGAAGACAUUUUGAAGAUAAGGAGAUCUUGAAUUGAAUUCUCUGUCGGACGCGAAGCCAGUGAGGUCAAGAAAGCAGUGGACAAACUGGUUCACGCCUGUCAACGGCAAAUAAAAUGCGAGAAGCCCUUAUAAUAAUCAUAAAAGCAAAUCUGACUGCAUAGGCCUACCCUGUGUCUGGCAGAGAUCCCCGGAGUAUCCUGUCAGGCAGACGCAGCGGUAGGUUCCCGAUGUUGACCCGACGUAGCACCGGCCGUUGUUUCCGCAAGGAUCCGGGGAACAAGGAUUUACCUCUAUAGAAAGGCAAAGCAUCGAAUCAGACAUUCUUGGAUUCAACUUGAAGGGCUUCUUCAGGCUUGCGAGCUACAGUGCCUAGGGCGCUAUUUGGGUAACCCUUGGUUUCUGGUUUCAUAAUUACCAGAAUAAGUAAAAUUAGGCCUAUGAGAAAAUUCUCCCAACCAAAAAAUAACCCCCCCCCAAAAAAAAAAAA